rnacentral:rRNA from 1 species
AGCGGCCUUCUGGACUGACACUGACACUGAGGUGCGAAAGCGUGGGUAGCAAACAGGAUUAGAUACCCUGGUAGUCCACGCCGUAAACGAUGUCUACUAGCCGUUGGGUCCCUUGAGGACUUUGUGGCGCAGUUAACGCGAUAAGUCGACCGCCUGGGGAGUACGGCCGCAAGGUUAAAACUCAAAUGAAUUGACGGGGGCCCGCACAAGCGGUGGAGCAUGUGGUUUAAUUCGAUGCAACGCGAAGAACCUUACCUACCCUUGACAUCGUGCGAACUUGGUAGAGAUACCUUGGUGCCUUCGGGA